rnacentral:rRNA from 1 species
UACAGAGGGGGCAAGCGUUGUUCGGAAUUACUGGGCGUAAAGGGCGCGUAGGCGGUUCGUUAAGUCCUGUGUGAAAUCCCCCGGCUCAACUGGGGAACUGCACAGGAAACUAGCGGGCUUGAGUUCGGGAGAGGGAAGCGGAAUUCCGGGUGUAGCGGUGAAAUGCGUAGAUAUCCGGAGGAACACCGGUGGCGAAGGCGGCGUCCUGGACCAACACUGACACUGAGGAGCGAAAGCCAGGGAGCAACGGAUUA